GUCUCCUUCGGUGGCUCGCGUCGGCGACGUCUCCUUUUCUCGGUUCGUUAGACGUCUCCUUCGGUGGCUCUCCUGAAAUCGAAAGUUUGUUGGUUCUCGUCGAAUCUGUCUCUCGGUGGGUCUUCUCCUCCAAGUUUUCCCUCGGUGGCUCACCUCAAAUCGAAAGAUAGAAGGAUCAAGGUUCAUUGAGCAAAGGUUCAUCGAGCACAGGAGUACAAUGCACAAAUAAGAGGAACAAGUCACACACAUAUAGAAAUGGAAGCAAGAAAACUGAUUGUUUGUGGCCUCUCAGCAAGCAGAAUCAGACCACCUCUCCCACAAGAA